UUGUAAUCACAACUGCUUGUGUGUGCCAGAAGAGAUUGGAAUAUUUACAGCUUUUCAGUGCAGCCGGACGGAAACAAUUACAAGUGAAUACAAACUUGUAUUUGUUUGUAUUUGAAAAGUCGCAUAUACAAAUAUAUGGAAAAAACACAAAUAAUAUGCACAUUCUGUCUUACAGAUAAACAAGAUGCCAACAGGAGCAAGCAGAAAAUGUGUUUGCAAGUAGAAAGCAUUAUCAAAGAUGCAGAAUAUAAAACUGUAUAGAAGCAGAGGGCAAGGCAAGUGUCUCGAGCAGAAGCCAUGGUAGCAGCUUUUCCGUUCCAGGACUGAUGUUUCAAGUUUGUGAGGCUGACCACAUGGUUUCAUUCACCGAAACAGCCGAUUGCGAAAUUAGACAAAUACUUUGACUUUGCCCCUGGCUUUGGUGGUUGCUGUACCUCUGAAGACUCCAUUCACCUCGAAUUACACGUCCCUCGAAAUCAUGUGGAGAAGGAGCAGUGUCAGUUGGAGACCUCUGCCUUCAAAACAGAAAAAAGACAGCUGAGAACACAAGUUAGCAAAAGGAAAUGAAGGAACAGCAACUACCAGAUGAUUAAUGCUACCCAUACGAACC